UUUCCGUAGGUGAACCUGCGGAAGGAUCAUUGCACACACAGAGCGGUAAACCCUGCGAACACGCCUUCGUCCUCCCGGGCUCCGCGUGCGGGCGGGGAGCGGCCCUCGCGGUCGUGCCUCGCUCGCGUGCGGGCCCCCCUCCGAGGGGCUCGACGCCUCGUCCGCUUUUCCGGCUUCCGGUGCGAGUUCGGCCCUUUCGCGGGCCAGUUCGCCGGCGGGCGGAGGCGGGCGCGGGUCGGGUUUUCGCCCCGCGGAUGCGCCACGCACCAUGUUCGACCGAGCGAGUCUGAGCCUUCCUUCCCCUCCCCGGGGGCGCGCGCGCCGCUGGCGGGGGGGAAGCGAACGUUGAAGAGCAACAAACAACUCUCAGCAACGGAUAUCUUGGCUCUC
rnacentral:misc_RNA from 1 species